CUUCCCACCCCAGGGAUUGAACCCACAUCUCUUAUGUCUCCUGUAUUAGCAGGCAGAUUCUUUACCACUAGCACCACUAGGGAAGCCCCAAAACUCCAGCAGGGACAGAAAAGUUACCACCAAAAAGCUGCUGGCACCCAUAGAGGCUGCCUUCAAUAUGGUAUGUGAGAGCAUCAGAAAGAUGGCUCGGGUCCAAAGGGACUUUGGGUGAGGUUAUUUGUCAGGACUUGGUAGGCUACAUCUGGAGGGCUGUAACACUUAGGCAGACUCAGAGCUUGGCUUGCUUUUGCUUCCACCAGAGGCAUUCCUCUGCUUGCCACAGUGGUCAGGAGCUGUGUGUCAGCCUGGAGCUGGGCAGGAGGAGUGGGAGGAAGGCUUUCCUGAUUCUCUUCCUGGGGUGACUGUCAAAGGCAUUGCGGUUAUGGGUGUGGAAAUAAGUUCUCUAUGGAGAGCUUAGAUAGAUGAAGAAAUAGUUUUUGAAAUUAGCUCUAGCGAUUGUUUUCAGUCUCUGUUAAGAACUGACCAAGAGGAGAUGGGGUAAGUCUGCAGCCAAUUAACAUGUGCUACAAAUGUAAGACAGAAAAACCAAAGAAUCAUGAAAAGAAUGGGAAAUAUCCUUCUUUAGAGAGCACUCAGGGAGGGUCGGGUGGAGAUCCGGAAUGCUUUUGGACGUCCCCUUUCUGAUCCCAGACAAUAGAUCAAGUGACGUCCGAGUGGACAGAUUGGGGCAGAGUCGAGGCUGAGUCAAGUCUGGGUCUAUGGUGUCUGCAUGGAACGGGCAGAGUGGGUUGGGCUGGAGAGAAAAACGAAGUGGCCUGGCUUGAAUAUCCCUUCCAGCUGUAUUGGGUGACUGCACUUAGAGGUUCCACAAUGGAUUCUCUACACCAGCCUGGGGCAUUCAGACUGUCUGCUGAAGUCCUGGCUCCCAACUGUGCAAAUAUAAAUAUGGGGCACAUUUAGGAGUUGCUCAACACUCAGCAUAUAUAGAUUCUAUCCACAUGUUGAGCACUGUGAGCCCCCGUGUUAGUCCUAAGUUCAUGAAUAUGACAGGGGCUUUUGCUUGGAGAUGCUGGAGGACACUUUCCAUUCCAGAUUACAUUUUGACAUAAGUUUUUCCAAAUUCCUCCUGGUGUACUGGCCCUGCUCCACUGGAUCCCAGAGCUACUGAAUAACAUUCUGAGCUGUGUUUCUUGCUGUUGCCAGGCUGGAAAAACUGAGGGAGGCACUAGUGGAAGAAAGAAAAAGGGAGGGAGCGAGCCAGGCUUAAUUCCCCUGCACUCAGCUCCUGUCUUUUUAGCUCUCUUCUCAAAGGGUUGCUUCAAUCCUACCUUCAUUACCCACCCCUGCUCUGGGUCCCCUGCAGGGAGACCUCCUUCACAUUUGCCCAGAUGAGUGGCUGAGCUUGGGGAACUCACUUUCCUGCUGGUGGUCUGAAUCAGAGAUGUACUCCUUCCUUUCUCAGCCAGAGAAGCCUGGCUCUCAGCCCUCUGAUGUUAAAGGCAGAGGCUAUACUACAUGAUCUGGGUGACCUGAAGAGAUUGCUUUUCCUUCUCUGUGUCUCAGUUUCCCCAUCUUUGCAAUGCAAAAGAUAAAAUAAAACUGUAUCUGGCAACGUCAAAGUGGCAAUGAGGGGAAAAGUUUAUAAAUAUAGUUACUGUGUGUUGAAAAGCAAGUGCUUUUUCAGUUGUGUGCCAGGUCCCAAACCAAAGCCUUUAAUGUACCAAUCCACUAAUUAAGAAAAAUAAGGUGUUGGUGUUAUUUACCCCCCAAAAAAGGACUAAGAGGGAGACAACCAGAUACAGGAGCUUUGGCUUAAACUGCACAAGAAGGGAUUUGGGGUAGACACUGAACAUUUUUAGGUUUGACUUAGGAAAAACUUUCUGCAAGACCUUAGGACGCUUGACUAAUGUGAUUUUAUCUUUGGCAGAGCUUUUGGAAGAAGUGAACCACCUUAUAUUUAAAGGACAUAUGUGGUUCUGCAAGAAGGCAGAGUGACAAGAUGCUGUGAUGGAGUCUUUUCCACCCCAAGUUUCACUGGUUAUACAGUUCGGCAGUAACUAUCGGCUUCUCUCCCAUGACAGCUGUUCUUCUGUCACAUUUUCAAGGUCAAACUCUGAUAAAGCACAGCAUAUACUAUAUGACAUUUCUGUUAUGACGCUCCUCCUGGAUUCAGAGUGGGUAGCAGGCCCUCAGAACUCGGUUUCAAUAUGGGACACCAAAUAAGGGAUCCGGAUGCCUGCAGAUUGCCAAAGGAAUCAGCACCUGAAGGAAGUUCAUCUGGGCCACUGGUGCUUUCUGAGAGCUGUCAAGCCAGCAGCACUACCCAGUUACUGGACGACAAACAAGCUAAAGAGACUAUUACUCAUUUCUGUAAACCCUAUCCCCAGCUGGGCAUAUAGUGCUUGGCACUUAGUAGGUAAUCAGUAAAGGGUUAUAAACUGAA